GGACCACAGCUCAGUGGUAGAGCAACUGCUUUGCAUGCAGAAAGUCCCAGUUUCAAUCCCUUGCAUCUCCU